UAAAGUCUUAGCCAGAUGGUGGAAAAUUCAGAAGAGUCAAGGUCGUGGGCACGAGAGCAAGUGAUGUCGUUGCACACGUAGGCGCAACAUCCAGCUUAGGAUUAAAAUUUAGGAUAGAGAUAGUAGGAGGGAACAGAGUAGAAGUUGCUGUCAGUAGCCUCAGUAACCUGUGUUUCGGUGAGGAAGAGAAAAUAAGGUUUAGAGGAGGAGAGAUGGUUUCCACAGUAUGAAAAUUAGAACGAAGACCACGAAUGUUGCAGAAAUUGAUAAGGAGGAGGUUCAAGGUUUCAAGGUGUGUGUGUUGUGUGAAUGUAGUGUGGUGUAGAAAGAGAGAGGAACUGUCUUUAGAGAGCAUGCUGAACUGCUCUCUGGUGUUGAUGAGACAAAAGGGAAACGGUUAGUGAGGACAUGGUCUUUGGAGGGCUUCAGCACCCUCCUCGCUUCCCAUAUAUCCUCACCGAGAAUAGGUCACACCCGUUCGGUAGGUUUCUUCCUACCUACUCCUACUAUAGGAUCGCAAAACAGUUCAUGGUAAUCCCAGCAACUUUUACGAGAGGCCUUUCAAACGGGCGGACUUAGGCGCCGUUUAGGAUGGGAAAGAGCCUACAUAGAGACUUCAUAUUUGCCUGGAGUAAACCUUGAGGCGGUCUCCCUAGGGUGGGCUAGACGACGCGCCCCCUAGCGUAUGCCCCAAUGAUUAACUGAGUUCCUCCUCUCCGGCACUCCAGAAGGCUUCGUGAUCAUCGUGAUGCGCCAUGAGUUCCUACAGACCGUGCCUUCCUACAAGGACAAGCUGGAGCCUUACAUGGACCAGCUGGAGGCGGACGGGAAGUGGAAGAAGGUGGAGCGGCGCAUCGUCCCAAACUAUUUCUGUGACAAGGAGGGUCUCGUCUUCGUCUUCCGCAUCACUAAGCCUGAGUGAGGAGGAAGAGGAGGGAAGGGAAAGGAGAGAGAUGAAGAGGAGGAGUUAUAGUGGUGCUGUGCCAAGGCUGUCUCUGUGUAACAGCCUUGGCUUUCGUCGCGGCACCCGAGACUGAGGUGUGAAUUAUCGUGCUCUGGCAACCUGGCGUCAUGGCGUCUACGAUGUUAUAUGAUAGUCUACGCAUAGGGCACAUUUGUCAGUAUUAAUCAUAUUAUUGAAAUUGUCGUAAAAAUAUGUUUUAGUUUAUAAGACUGAGGCUGCAGAAUCCUUAACCUCAGACCUUGCUAUCAUCUCCGAUUGUGAUAAAAGGAA